rnacentral:rRNA from 1 species
GAACGCUGGCGGCGUGCCUAAUACAUGCAAGUCGAGCGAACGGACGAGAAGCUUGCUUCUCUGAUGUUAGCGGCGGACGGGGGAGUAACACGUGGAUAACCUACCUAUAAGACUGGGAUAACUUCGGGAAACCGGAGCUAAUACCGGAUAAUAUUUUGAACCGCAUGGUUCAAAAGUGAAAGACGGUCUUGCUGUCACUUAUAGAUGGAUCCGCGCUGCAUUAGCUAGUUGGUAAGGUAACGGCUUACCAAGGCAACGAUGCAUAGCCGACCUGAGAGGGUGAUCGGCCACACUGGAACUGAGACACGGUCCAGACUCCUACGGGAGGCAGCAGUAGGGAAUCUUCCGCAAUGGGCGAAAGCCUGACGGAGCAACGCCGCGUGAGUGAUGAAGGUCUUCGGAUCGUAAAACUCUGUUAUUAGGGAAGAACAUAUGUGUAAGUAACUGUGCACAUCUUGACGGUACCUAAUCAGAAAGCCACGGCUAACUACGU